GCAGUCGCCACGGUAAAACGUAGGUGGCUAGCGUUGUUCGGAAUUACUGGGCGUAAAGCGCACGUAGGCGGCUUUGUAAGUUAGAGGUGAAAGCCCGGAGCUCAACCCCGGAAUUGCCUUUAAGACUGCCGAGCUAGUAGGUGAGAGAGAUGAGUGGAAUUCCGAGUGUAGAGGUGAAAUGCGUAGAUAUCGGAAGGAACACCUGUGGCGAAAGCGGCUCACUGGACCAUUUCUGACGCUGAUGCACGAAAGCUAGGGGAGCAAACAGGAUUAGAUACCCCCGUGUCCCUGUCUCUUAUACA
rnacentral:rRNA from 1 species